rnacentral:rRNA from 1 species
UCAAAUCAUCAUGCCCCUUAUGACCUGGGCUACACACGUGCUACAAUGGGCGGUACAAAGGGCUGGCGAACCCGCGAGGGGGAGCGAAUCCCAAAAAGCCGCUCUACAGUUCGGAUUGCAGGCUGCAACUCGCCUGCAUGAAGCCGGAAUCGCUAGUAAUCGCGGAUCAGCAUGCCGCGGUGAAUACGUUCCCGGGCCUU